rnacentral:lncRNA from 1 species
UUUUUUUUUCUUUCUUUCUUAUUUGUAAUCAGACUGAGUGGGCUGGGUGUGGUUGGUUGAGUAGAGAAACUUUUUAUUUUUAAUUGGAUUUGGCUUUAUAUUUAGACCUUAAUAAAUUUUUUAAAAAAGUUUUGGCAUAAAUGGAACACUUAUAUAAAUUAAAGUAUUCAAAAAAUGUGUCCCUAUAAACUAUUUCUGUUAUAGUAAUUU